AGACAACUCUCAACAACGGAUAUCUUGGCUCUCGCAACGAUGAAGAACGCAGCGAAAUGCGAUACGUAGUGUGAAUUGCAGAAUUCCGCGAAUCAUCAAAUCUUUGAACGCAAAUUGCGACCGARUCUUCGGAUUAGGGCAUGUUUGCCUCAGCGUCGGGUU
rnacentral:rRNA from 1 species